rnacentral:misc_RNA from 1 species
CAUCAAGGUUACAUGUAAACAACGUUCAUAUAAGCCAUUUUUAAAAUAACAAAACUGACAAUAAAUGUCUCGAAAAGUGUAAUUUUAAUUUAUACAGGGGUAGAUUUGGCCGGGCCAAUAUAACUAUUACCACCCCUAUUGCAUCGCUGGUCAUGUGACCGAUCUCCAGCCAAUCGGAUUGCUUCGUUCGUAAAAUCCACUGACAGGCGCCCCUAUAGUUACAUACAUACAUCAAACGUCACUUGUAUCCCAGUGGUGAAAAUCUAUACAGUGUAAAGGGUCUGUGAAUUGUCUGUUUGUAUUUUUAGGGAUUUUUUUUUGAAAAAAUCCCUCUUGUAAGCACCAAAUAGGUCCACAAGCAGCGGAUGUCUACUGGAACCCAGACGUCCAGUGGCGGCGGCUACGCGUCCCUCGAACCGCAGCGCGGGGCGGCGGACAACAUUUACCGCCCCACGACGGUAUCGGGAGAAGCGACGACGCAAGCCACUGGACUCUUUGAUGGGGUGAAGAGAGCGCUGGGACUUGGAGGCAGAGAAGAUAGGAACCAGGUGGGUGGAAGGGUAACGGCUGGAUCUUCUGAAACAAUAAGGACUCAAGUCGUAAAUCCGACAGCGAACAAGAAAAUGCCUAGUUCCGGUAUAGCCGAAGAAGCCGCUCUACUUGGCACUAUGCCUUCCGACUCAAUGGACGACAUAGAACUGAAGAACAUUAAGCUUCAGUUCCCACAUACUAGGUCUAUGUCAAGAGAAGAUUCUAAUGCUCAGGAGGAGAUAGUGGAAACUGAUAGAGGAAAUAUUGUUGUAGCAGUGCAAGGGAAUAGGAAUAAGCCUGCUAUUUUGACUUACCAUGAUCUUGGGUUAAAUUAUGUUUCAAACUUUCAAGCAUUUUUCAACUAUAUUGACAUGAGAGCUCUGAUGGAAAAUUUCUGCGUUUAUCAUGUAAAUGCACCUGGACAGCAGGAAGGAGCUCCGUCUUUACCUGAAGACUAUAUUUACCCAACAAUGGAUGAAUUGGCUGACCAGUUAGUUCACGUGGUCAGUCAUUUUAAUUUGAAACAGUUUAUUGGCUUUGGAGUUGGCGCUGGUGCUAAUAUUCUAUGUCGAUACGCCCUUAAUCAUCCUGAAAUGGUUUCUGCCCUUUGUUUAAUCAACUGCGUUAGCACACAACCAGGUUGGAUCGAAUGGGGAUAUCAGAAGCUGAAUGCCAGACAUCUUAAAUCGAAGGGCAUGACUCAAAGUGUAUUGGAUUAUUUGAUGUGGCACCAUUUCGGAAGGAAUACUGAAGAGCGCAACCACGACUUAGUCCAAGUUUACAAGUCGUACUUCGAAAGAAACGUAAACACCACAAACUUGGCCUUAUUUAUUGACAGCUACGUUAAAAGAACGGACCUAAACAUCCACAGAGAUCCCGAUCCAACAAGGAAAAACGCAUCUACCCUGAGAGUUCCAGUAAUUAAUAUUACUGGAGCUCAUAGUCCGCAUGCUGAUGAUACUGUGACAUUUAAUGGACGUUUGGACCCAACUAAUUCAUCUUGGAUGAAGAUUUCUGAUUGUGGUAUGGUGUUGGAAGAACAACCAGGCAAAGUUAGCGAAGCCUUUAGGCUGUUCCUACAAGGGGAAGGAUAUGCUAUUCAUGUGAGGCGAAGGUCUAGCUGUAUGAGUGUCGGUUCGUUAGUAGGGACUCCUAAGUAAAUUAUAGUAAAUAGUUAAGGUCAUACCAAACUACUAUAAGGUCAGUUACCAUUGAAAGACCUGUAAAUAAUCCACAUUGGCUCCGCUUUCGCCAGUAAAAAUGGCUAUGUUUCGGAAACAAUCAAUCGAGGAACUCUUCAAGGCCAGAAUCCAAAGUUCAGGCCAAUGUUUAGGUGGGAAUAUAAUUAAUAUCACCGAGAACCCCAUUUCUGCUGUAGUUUGUUA